ACACUAUAAGACUGGGAUAACUUCGGGAAACCGGAGCUAAUACCGGAUAAUAUUUUGAACCGCAUGGUUCAAAAGUGAAAGACGGUCUUGCUGUCACUUAUAGAUGGAUCCGCGCUGCAUUAGCUAGUUGGUAAGGUAACGGCUUACCAAGGCAACGAUGCAUAGCCGACCUGAGAGGGUGAUCGGCCACACUGGAACUGAGACACGGUCCAG
rnacentral:rRNA from 1 species